AGAGUUUGAUCAUGGCUCAGAUUGAACGCUGGCGGCAUGCCUUACACAUGCAAGUCGAACGGCAGUAUGAUCUAGCUUGCUAGAUUGAUGGCGAGUGGCGAACGGGUGAGUAAUACAUCGGAACGUGCCCUGUAGUGGGGGAUAACUAGUCGAAAGAUUAGCUAAUACCGCAUACGACCUGAGGGUGAAAGUGGGGGACCGCAAGGCCUCAUGCUAUAGGAGCGGCCGAUGUCUGAUUAGCUAGUUGGUGAGGUAAAGGCUCACCAAGGCGACGAUCAGUAGCUGGUCUGAGAGGACGAUCAGCCACACUGGGACUGAGACACGGCCCAGACUCCUACGGGAGGCAGCAGUGGGGAAUUUUGGACAAUGGGCGAAAGCCUGAUCCAGCAAUGGCCGCGUGUGUGAAGAAGGCCUUCGGGUUGUAAAGCACUUUUGUCCGGAAAGAAAUGGCUCUGGUUAAUACCUGGGGUCGAUGACGGUACCGGAAGAAUAAGGACCGGCUAACUACGUGCCAGCAGCCGCGGUAAUACGUAGGGUCCAAGCGUUAAUCGGAAUUACUGGGCGUAAAGCGUGCGCAGGCGGUUGUGCAAGACCGAUGUGAAAUCCCCGAGCUUAACUUGGGAAUUGCAUUGGUGACUGCACGGCUAGAGUGUGUCAGAGGGGGGUAGAAUUCCACGUGUAGCAGUGAAAUGCGUAGAGAUGUGGAGGAAUACCGAUGGCGAAGGCAGCCCCCUGGGAUAACACUGACGCUCAUGCACGAAAGC
rnacentral:rRNA from 1 species